GACGAACGCUGGCGGCGUGCCUAAUACAUGCAAGUCGAACGAGUGGCGGACGGGUGAGUAAUGUCUGGGAAACUGCCCGAUGGAGGGGGAUAACUACUGGAACCGGUAGCUAAUACCGAAUACCAUCGGCUGAGCCCAGCUGGGGUUAGCUAGUAGGUAGGGGAACGGCUAACCUAGGCGACGAUCCCUAGCGGGUCUGAGAGGAUGACCAGCCACACUGGAACUUAGACACGGUCCAUACUCCUACGGGAGGCAGCAGUGGGGAAUAUUGCACAAUGGGGUCAAGUCUGAUGCAGCCAUGCCGCGUGUAUGAAGAAGGCCUUCGGGUUGUAAAGUUCUGUCAGCGAGGAGGCGUGACUCGCAGAAGAAGCACCGGCUAACUCCGUGCCAGCCGCCGCGGUAAUUC
rnacentral:rRNA from 1 species